GUUAGGAAUAUUGGACAAUGGGCGCAAGCCUGAUCCAACCAUGCCGCGUGAGUGAUGAAGGCCUUCGGGUUGUAAAGCUCUUUAGCCGAUGAUUAUAAUGACUGUAGUCGGAAAAUAAGCCCCGGCUAACUUCGUGCCAGCAGCCGCGGUAAUACGAAGGGGGCGAGCGUUAUUCGGAAUCACUGGGCGUAAAGCGUGCGUAGGCGGCUUUGCAAGUUGGGAGUGAAAGCCCAGGGCUCAACCCUGGAAUUGCUCUCAAAACUGCAAGGCUCGAAUUCGGGAGAGGAUAGCGGAAUUGUCAGUGUAGCAGUGAAAUGCGUAGAUAUUGACAGGAACACCAGUGGCGUAAGCGGCUAUCUGGACCGAUAUUGACGCUGAGGCACGAAAGCGUGGGGAUCAAACAGGAUUAGAUACCCCUGUAGUCC
rnacentral:rRNA from 1 species